GCUGUCUCCACAUCAAGUAGAAUAUUCCGUUUUGUUAGAAAAAAUGUUUCUUAAAAUAAACUUCAGUUUUCUCGUCACCCUUCUAAUGAUACUAACGACAAGAGCAACGAGUGAAAAUUGUGAUUUGGAAUCUUGUCCAAUUUACGGACCGACAGAAACGGAACACGUGCUCACGGUUGUUCCGGUUCCUUGGAAUUGCAGCCUAUACGCCAUGUGUGAACGAGGAGUGCAUCAUAUAAGACCUUGUCCACUGGGUUUACAUUUUGCACCAAGUCUACGAGUUUGCGAAUUCCCUGAGCGUGCCAACUGUGUGGAAAGGUGCAAUUGACAUCAUGUGUAACUAAAUAAAAAAAAAUUAAAUCAUA